GCCGCCAAGGCCUCGCUCUCCUCCUUCACGAAAUUUCUUCUUCUUCUCGACGCGUCAUCUUCUUCUUCACUGCGAAAAGCAUGACUUCCCGCUUGGCUAGCUCCGCCAUAUGCUGUCUGCAGAGCUCCGCCAUGUGCUGCCUUUCUCUCCGCAGAGGUGUUCGAUCUUCCAUUUACGUUUCAGCGCCCGAAGCUCGAUUCGUCCGCAGAAACUUAGAAAAGAUUGAUCCUCGACAGUUGAAACCUUGGGAUAUUGAUCGUGAAUUGGCUAAACCCCCAGCUUUCCAUUGGCCACCUGAUCUUGCUUUGAGCGUGUAAGAGAUAAAAUGUACAUCAUCAUGCUUACAACUUUCCAAGGCAGACAUCUACCCUAAGCCUGAGACCGUUGUUUAUUAUCAUGAUCAUAUUCCCUUAAAGAGGAUGGCACCAUCUCACCCAACUAUCACAUAUGUCUUCCUUCUUUUCUAAAGGAAAACUAUACUUUAAGUGGGCCUACUUGUAAUGGUCUACUUCAUUUUCAUAGUUUUAAGUCGGGUCAUGCUCUUUGGAACCCAACUACGAGUGAGUAUAAGAUCCUGCCUAAGCCCCUUACAGAACCCCCUGAUCUACUUAGGUGGUUUAUAACAGCAUAUGGAAUGUGGUCUGACCAUAAAUUUGAAGAUGUCAAAGUGAUGCAUCUUAAACAAUUUUGGUUGGAAGAUAAUGCUGGCGAGUUAUAUUACUUUGACUUGUAUUCACUUAAAACUAAUUCCUGGAGGAGAAUAAAUUACACCGAGUAUGACUUUUUUCCCUUAAGAUAUUGUGCUUGCCUGGAUGGCAUUUUUUAUUGUAAAGCAUAUAAAAGAGGAGUCUGUGGCCCUGUCUUCUGUUCAUUUGACCUUUCUACUGAAACCAUGUCCACUUUACCCUUUCCUGAACUUAGUAAGUCCAAUUUUAAAAUUAUAAAGUAUAAGGGGCUGUUAAGUGUUGUUGAGUGGUUGGAUGAUAAAGAUGAUGUGCCUUGGAAGUUCCAACUCUGGAGUAUGAGAGAUGGAUCUUGGACAAGAGAAUCUGCUUUCCAUACUCGUGGUAUUAGGCGGAUGUUAUGGUCCUCGCCGGACGGUAAGCUAUUGUAUUUUGCAAGCUUGAAUGAUGAGCUAGUGGUGUUUGAUCGUAGCAUUGGAAUGUUGAAGCAUCUUGGUGUCAAAUGGUUUUCGUCUAAACCAAAAACCAUUCCGUUUGUUGAAAACUUUGGUCAACUCAAUGGAAUUUCACAUGUUGAGGAGACGCAUGAGCAGAAGAAAGAAGAAAAAGAUGAGGACGCAUAAGAAGUAUCAUUCAAUUAGGUUGCAUUUCCAAUAUGGGUUGUUUAUUCUUUUCCCAGAAGCAGAAUCUGUCCAUUACUUUCAUUUUGGAUACCCACUGUUCACGCUUUAUUGAUUCAAAAGAACAGUCUAGAAGGAACCAAUCUGGCUAUCCCAAGGGCAGUGAACCACAAACUGCGAGGAGGCACUGAGACUCUCUUGUUCGUAGCUGGGUGAGUUUUGACCCUCCAAAGUCAACAGUAAACAUGGUGCUAAAAGAAGAUUAUGAGAAGGGAAGUCCGAAUCGGCCAUUGCUAAACAUAAAUACACAAUAUCUCAGUCCUCAGAAGAAAUCUGAGGUUUCUCAUUCAGAACUUUCGAAUACCUCCGGAGCUUUUCCAAACCAUCACAAAAGCAAAGGUAUGAUGAAGGUUCAACGGAAAUAGUAUUUGAUUAGGUCUCUUGGUUUUGAUAAAAAUAAACUCAGAAACCAGUCUAUUUCAAAAAUGUAUUCAAGGAUCAUCAACAAGGAUCCUUCUGCAUGGCUAGAAGAUUACAAAACAAAGAGUAGCCCUCCUGGGGCAAAAUUCCCUUUUGUUACAAGCCAGUCUAAAUUUCCCCAGCAGCCUGCCACAAGCUUCCGGCCGUUAACAUCAAUGCCUGAGCAGUCUCUGGCUUCACCCUUUGGCUCGACUGGGAAUUUAGAAAACUUAAAGGCAACAACCAAGGAUCAGAAGAACACUAAUCUGGUGCUGAGACAUCAGAUACUAAAUUUCCAGCAACUUUCUUUUCUGCUUUUAGCUUUUCCCCUAAUCAACCAGAGAAGAGUGUGUUCAGUAAAAGUUUGGAAAGGCCAAGUAGUCCUAAUGAUGGUCCGUUAGCUUCUAGCCCACUGCAAAUGGUUUUGGAUCCAUCAUCACCUUUGAGUAACAGUUAUCCAGUACCCUCCUCCGUGGCAAAACCAAGUUCAGCAAAAUUAUUUCCUGCAUCUCAUUUCUGUUCUGAAGCCAAGGAGGGUGUGUCACAGCG